rnacentral:rRNA from 1 species
GCCUACGGGACGCAGCAGUGAGGAAUAUUGGUCAAUGGGAGAGAUCCUGAACCAGCCAAGUCGCGUGAGGGAUGACGGCCCUACGGGUUGUAAACCUCUUUUGUCGGGGAGCAAGACCCGCCACGAGUGGCGGAGCGAGAGUACCCGAAGAAGAAGCAUCGGCUAACUCCGUGCCAGCAGCCGCGGUAAUACGGAGGAUGCGAGCGUUAUCCGGAUUUAUUGGGUUUAAAGGGUGCGCAGGCGGACCAUCAAGUCAGCGGUAAAAUCGUGGGGCCCAACCCCAUCCCGCCGUUGAAACUGGCGGC